GCGCUGGUGGUUCAGUGGUAGAAUUCUCGCCUGCCACGCGGGAAACCGGGGUUCGAUUCCCCGCUAGCGCA
rnacentral:tRNA from 1 species